rnacentral:rRNA from 1 species
GAUGAACGCUGGCGGCGUGCUUAACACAUGCAAGUCGAACGGAAAGGCCCUGCUCUUGUGCGGUUCUCGAGUGGCGAACGCGUGAGUGACACGUGUGUAUCCUGCCCUUGUCUUUCGGGUAACAUCAGGAAACUGGGGCUAAUAUCGGAUAGGAGAUCCUGCUGCGUGGUGGGCAUUGGAAAGUUUCGGCGGUUGGGGAUGGACUCGCGGCUUAUGAGCUUGUUGGUGGGGUAGUGGCUUACCAAGGCUUUGACGGGUAGCCGGCCUGGGAGGUUGAACAGGGUCAAGGGGCCUGCGAGAGGCAGCAGUCGGGAAUGGUAGGCAGUAGGCGGGAACCUGACACAGCGGGCGGACGUGUGUGACAGAGGCCUUCGGUUCGUAAAGCCCGCUUUUGGGGUAAAAACCGCUGUCGCCUGAGACGAAGCGGUAGUGACGGUAACGAGUAAAGAAGCACCGGCUAACUACGUG